CUUGGUGUGAAUUGCAGAAUCCCGUGAACCAUCGAGUUUUUGAACGCAAGUUGCGCCCAAAGCCAUUAGGCCAAGGGCACGUCUGCCUGGGCGUCACGC
rnacentral:rRNA from 3 species